rnacentral:lncRNA from 1 species
GGUUGGAGGGUGGAAAGAGGGAAGAAGGUCGAGAGAGAGAGAGUUGGGCCAAGUCAAUUCUUAAAUCAUCCGAACGAUCACAGGGUCUCGAGAGUACGUCGUUCUCAAAACUACUAUACCACAAAAUAAGAGGGGUUUCCUUCCUCUUUCCUUCCCACCACUGGUCUUCGUUGUCGCCCGUUCAAGCAUGUGCCGUUGACAAGGCAUCAGAAAUAGCAGGGUGAAAUGAGAGGUCCAGCAGCCGGGUAGUCAUCUUCUCGAAAAAGAACAACAUUUUUUUCUUAACAAAA